GAUGAACGCUGGCGGCGUGCCUAAUACAUGCAAGUCGAGCGAACGGACGAGAAGCUUGCUUCUCUGAUGUUAGCGGCGGACGGGUGAGUAACACGUGGAUAACCUACCUAUAAGACUGGGAUAACUUCGGGAAACCGGAGCUAAUACCGGAUAAUAUUUUGAACCGCAUGGUUCAAAAGUGAAAGACGGUCCUGCUGUCACUUAUAGAUGGAUCCGCGCUGCAUUAGCUAGUUGGUAAGGUAACGGCUUACCAAGGCAACGAUGCAUUGCCGACCUGAGAGGGUGAUCGGCCACACUGGAACUGAGACACGGUCCAGACUCCUACGGGAGGCAGCAGUAGGGAAUCUUCCGCAAUGGGCGAAAGCCUGACGGAGCAACGCCGCGUGAGUGAUGAAGGUCUUCGGAUCGUAAAACUCUGUUAUUAGGGAAGAACAUAUGUGUAAGUAACUGUGCACAUCUUGACGGUACCUAAUCAGAAAGCCACGGCUAACUACGUG
rnacentral:rRNA from 1 species